GGUUUUCCCACGGUAAAACCAAGAGCUUUCUUUUUUCCAGAGUGAAUAUUUAGAGUCGUUAUCUUUGCUACACGUGAAUUUCUCCUGCAUGGGGACUUUAUCUACUCGUUCUACUACCUUAGAUCUGAGAUAAUCUCCGCGAGAGUACAAAACUUCAGUGUAUUACUCAUUUUAAUCAUGUCCGCCAUUGCUGUGACAAGCUAGACGCCAUUCCGUUUUAUUCAUUCUAUUGGCUUGUUCAUAGGUUCACUUGUUGAGGUGAUGAAGAAAUCUAAAAGUUCAUGAACUUGAAUAAAAUAAUUCUCGUUGUCA